UACGUAGGCAGCAAGCGUUGUUCGGAAUUACUGGGCGUAAAGAGUGUGUAGGCGGUUCUUCAAGUCUGGUGUGAAAUCUCCCGGCUUAACUGGGAGGGUGCAUUAGAAACUGGAAUGCUAGAGGAUGGGAGAGGUAAGCGGAAUUCCUGGUGUAGCGGUGAAAUGCGUAGAUAUCAGGAGGAACACCUGUGGUGUAGACAGCUUACUGGACCAUUUCUGACGCUGAGACACGAAAGCGUGGGUAGCAAACAGG
rnacentral:rRNA from 1 species